UGACCUUAUAAACAGUUUGGAUAGCAUAUAAAAAUCAAGGUGGAUCCCAAGAAGGUUUCAACGGUAGAAAUUUCUUUCACCAAUUUUUCCUCUCGUAUGAACCACUUGAGUUUUGUAUCCACCUCAGUUUUGGUCUCACGUCCUAAAAUGAUCUCUCAAAACUGAUGGGAGGAAUGGAUUUCUCACAUACAUUGCAGUGGGCCACACCCAACAUCCUUGCGCAGGAAAUUCCUGUAAAAGGCUUUCGCAGGAAAUCCGCGUCCGUUCUAAAUCUCCUCAUUUCUUUCUCUAUUACUCAUCAUCUCCACGUCUCGUCUCCGCGUCUCUAUCUCUGCUCGCUUUUCUCCCACGGAUCUUGAUUCAUCCCCACCAAAUCAUCUCUCUUUCUACGAUCUUCACCAAACUUUCGGAAUAUCCCUCUUGAUCAAGAGACAGAUUCGACCGUCAGAGAUCUCCAAGGCUCUGUGUUUGUCACUUCAGAGGUUUAUGCAGAAGAAUCGAGAGGUCUUUGGGUUGCUGGCUUCAGUGAGAUUGGAUCCGCAGAAUUUGAGUUUUUCCUCUCUUCUUUGGAGACAUCUACCAUUUUUUU